UCUACUUCAGUUUAAAAAAAAUGCUCUCCAAAGAGGUAUAGUGGAAACAUCCAGAUGUGGGAUUAUGAUUAAAAAUAGAAUCAAAACAGCCUCCCUUAGAAGAAGUAAAACUCUAGAUUCAAAGUUACUGGAUAGCUGAUAAUACAAGUAAAAAAUGCUAGCAUCUAUAAAUUUUGGGAAGUCUUGAGAUUUGAAUUUUAUCUUGACCACCUGA
rfam:Camelus ferus unplaced genomic scaffold scaffold56579, whole genome shotgun sequence.